rfam:Dysgonomonas mossii DSM 22836 genomic scaffold supercont1.3, whole genome shotgun sequence.
ACAAAGAAGAGUUUGAUCCUGGCUCAGGAUGAACGCUAGCGAUAGGCCUAACACAUGCAAGUCGAGGGGCAGCAUAGAGUAGCAAUACUUUGAUGGCGACCGGCGCAC